GCGUAAUCCCUCAUUGUCAGGCAUUCUCGUUUGGAGAGACGGGAACGAGACAAUUUUGGUUUGGCAGCUAGAAGAAACAUAUUCGGUGAAUAAAGAUAGAAAAAAUUUCAGGCGGAAGGGAAUAGAGGGGUCGUCUCCAAGCCAUGGUAUCUUCCGGUACACCAUCAUUUUUAAGUAAAUUUCUAUACUAUAUGUUUUUCAAUUUGUAGUUUUAUAUGAAAAUGUGAAAGUGUCACGUCCGUUAUAUGGCAGCGUGGGCUGCUACGGCUCUGCUUUUUUUAGUUCUUUUAUUCAACAAAGUUGGACUGAAACACGAAGUUUAACUGUUGGUACAUGUUUAGUGGUAUUCACUUAACAGUGUUUUGGUGGGGUUUUACGACUAGCGACAAAACAUGGAAAAAGCCAGUAACCAUCGACAAGAAUAAUAUAUUUUAGACUACAAAUUUUUUGUUUGCCGCCGUAUUAUGUACAUAAAUCCAGCCACAGGCUAGCAAAAAAAAAAUACGAAAUCUCAGUGUCGCAGCAGGUCUCGAAAUAUUGAAGGGGCACAAUA